AGAGUUUGAUCCUGGCUCAGGACGAACGCUGGCGGCGUGCUUAACACAUGCAAGUCGAACGAAGCUUGAUUACGGAUUCUUCGGAUGAAGUAUGAUAUGACUGAGUGGCGGACGGGUGAGUAACGCGUGAGUAACCUGCCCUUCAGAGGGGGAUAGCGUUUGGAAACGAACGGUAAUACCGCAUAAUGUAUUUUGACCGCAUGAUCGAAAUACCAAAGAUUUAUCGCUGAAGGAUGGACUCGCGUCUGAUUAGGUAGUUGGUGGGGUAACGGCCUACCAAGCCGACGAUCAGUAGCCGGACUGAGAGGUUGAUCGGCCACAUUGGGACUGAGACACGGCCCAGACUCCUACGGGAGGCAGCAGUGGGGAAUAUUGCACAAUGGGCGCAAGCCUGAUGCAGCAACGCCGCGUGAGGGAAGACGGUUUUCGGAUUGUAAACUUCUGUUCUUAGUGAAGAAUAAUGACGGUAGCUAAGGAGCAAGCCACGGCUAACUACGUGCCAGCAGCCGCGGUAAUACGUAGGUGGCAAGCGCUGUCCGGAAUUACUGGGUGUAAAGGGAGCGCAGGCGGGUGAUCAAGCCAGCUGUGAAAACUACGGGCUUAACCCGUAGACUGCAGUUGAAACUGUUCAUCUUGAGUGAAGUAGAGGUUGGCGGAAUUCCGAGUGUAGCGGUGAAAUGCGUAGAUAUUCGGAGGAACACCGGUGGCGAAGGCGGCCAACUGGGCUUUAACUGACGCUGAGGCUCGAAAGUGUGGGGAGCAAACAGGAUUAGAUACCCUGGUAGUCCACACUGUAAACGAUGAUUGCUAGGUGUGGGGGGUCUGACCCCUUCCGUGCCGGAGCUAACGCAAUAAGCAAUCCACCUGGGGAGUACGACCGCAAGGUUGAAACUCAAAGGAAUUGACGGGGACCCGCACAAGCAGUGGAUUAUGUGGUUUAAUUCGAAGCAACGCGAAGAACCUUACCAGCACUUGACAUCCAACUAACGAAAUAGAGAUAUAUUAGGUGCCCUUCGGGGAAAGUUGAGACAGGUGGUGCAUGGUUGUCGUCAGCUCGUGUCGUGAGAUGUUGGGUUAAGUCCCGCAACGAGCGCAACCCUCGCCAUUAGUUGCUACGCAAGAGCACUCUAAUGGGACCGCUACCGACAAGGUGGAGGAAGGUGGGACGACGUCAAAUCAUCAUGCCCCUUAUGUGCUGGGCUACACACGUAAUACAAUGGCCAUCAACAGAGAGAAGCAAUACCGCGAGGUGGAGCAAAACUUCAAAAAUGGUCUCAGUUCGGACUGCAGGCUGCAACCCGCCUGCACGAAGUUGGAAUUGCUAGUAAUCGUGGAUCAGCAUGCCACGGUGAAUACGUUCCCGGGUCUUGUACACACCGCCCGUCACACCAUGGGAGCCGGUAACACCCGAAGUCAGUAGUCUAACCGCAAGGAGGACGCUGCCGAAGGUGGGAUUGGCGACUGGGGUGAAGUCGUAACAAGGUA
rnacentral:rRNA from 1 species